CUCCUGGUUAACAAAAAGAAGAAUAAAAAUUAGUGUAAAGGAUUUAUUUAAUUGUAAAUCAACAUGUUUUAAUUCUUACCAACCAGUGAGAAUCAACCUUUUCUUUAGGAAAAAAACUAAAGUACAAAUACAAAAUACAAUUAAAAUUGAAGAUUUAAAUAAGUGUCCUGCUUGCUGAUUAAAAUCCAUGAUUUAAAUUGCUUUGGUUUAAAUAAGCCCACACUGUUUGUUAUGGAGAUGCAGCAAAUGCUCUAUAGUUAAAACAUAAUGGGAGAUUCAUCUUAGGUGGCUUUAGAUUCUCCUCCUUAUCUUCACCAAAAAUUAAUGAAACUACCUCUGAGUUGGUAACAGGUUCCUCUCCCUGAGUUUUUUGCUUUCUUUUCGUGAGAACUUUGAAGCAAAUAAUAAUUUAUUUCCAAGGUAUGGAUGGAAGUGUGACAUCUAGAAAAGUAUCCCAAUCCUUUUUUGCCCCUUGCAGCUUAAAACUAGACACUCAAUAUUUGUCUUGUUUUUGGGGGUGCUGUUUGAUCUUUUGGAGAGUGCUGAUUAUUAAGAGGAUAAUGUGUGCUUUAGGUUAAAUAUAUAGAUGAAUGUAUUAUGAUGCCUCCAUAGACUCCAGAGCUUUUGAAUUUUGGAUUGGUCAUUGUGGAUUGUAGUGGUCCAUUUUGUAAUGUCCAUACUGUGCCUUGAAAUAGGGGUGUCAGACAUACAGCCUUUGGGUCACAUUUGGCCUACGUGGCAAAGAUUGUCCAGAGUCUAAGUUUAUUUGUCUAAAUGAAAGUUUCUAGCCACCAUGGCUGCAGAGAGAGAUCCUUCCCAGUCUAAACUGGUUAUGUCUGAAACAAAUAGCUAUGGUGAAUUCCAAAAGCCAGUGAUACUUGAAUGUCAACAUCAGAUAUUUGAUUGCUGAUUGUUUUGAUGGCAUAGGAAAGGGAGUGGGAGUGAAGUCCUUGGUGGCUGGAUUUGGAGCUGUGGGGAAGCAAAUGCAGAGAAAAAUAGAGGGAAGACAGGUCAAAGGGAUAGAAACAGAGAAGGUUGGAAAGAGUGGUGGCCUAAAGGAGAGCAUUUUUUUUUUUUUUUUUACUGAAUCUGAGUGUAUGAAUAAAUAAAAGUUUAGUUACUAAAUAAAGACUCUGUUCUCCCCUUGAUAUCUUUGCAAGCCUUCCACUGAUAGCUGUGGAUUUGAGGAGAGUAUGAAGUUCUAAAUGUAUGUUCUGGCCGAUGGGCCAUAUGGAAUCCAGCCCUCUCUCUUCUGCAGGGAAUUGACAUUCCUCCUCUUGUUGGUCUGCUGUUGGCAAAGGGCUUGCUGUUCCUGGUCUUCAGUUUGCUGCUUCGUGUUUUUGUACAGGCUGGGUCUCCUCCAGGAGGAGGGAAACCUGCCCCAUCCCUCCUCAGCAGAGGACUCUGCAUGUAUGUGGGACUUCUUGCUAUUCCAGUAAAGGAUUUUGGAGGGUAGCAUAAAGUUAUUUAAUGGCACUACUGUCAAGUAUUAAUGUAUUAUAGAGCGUAAAAUUUAGUUGAUUUGGUGUGUGUGUGUGUGUGUGUGUGUGUGUUCAUCAGCAUUAAUUGGGAGCACUGAGUUCAGGCAGCAGGAGAGACUAGGCUGUUUGGGCCUACACAAUGGGGGUGGGAGACAAGGCUGGAUGGGGUGUAGCUUGAGGCUAGUGGCUGGUGUAUUUCAGCUGGGUUGGUAAUUUUUUCAAGUCCUGAGCCUAAGACAUUGUUUGUUAGAGAAACUUGCACCAGAAUAGCUACAUUGAUGCAGUGUUUUCUGCAUUAGGGACUUCAUUAAUGUAAAUGGCACAUCAG